AUUUAUGUAGUUUAACUAAAAACACUACAUUUUCAUUGUAGAAUUAGAUUCUUUCUCAUAAAUA
rnacentral:tRNA from 1 species